GAUGAACGCUGGCGGCGUGCCUAAUACAUGCAAGUCGAGCGACCAGACGAUAAGCGCGUUCUUCUGCCGUUAGCGGCUGACGGGCGAGUGACACGUGGAUCAGCAACUAAUUUUUCUGGGAUAACUACGGGGAACCGCUUCUAAUACUGCCUCAUAUAUCCUACCGCAGGGAUCAAUAGAGCAUCACGCCUUUGGUGACUCUAUUAGCUGAUUCCGCGCCGCAUUAGCUAGUUGGUAAGGUAACGGCUUACCAAGGCAACGAUGCGUAGCCGAGCUGAGAGGGUGAUCGGCCACACUGGAACUGAGACACGGUCCAGACUCCUACGGGAGGCAGCAGUAGGGAAUCUUGCGCAAUGGGCGAAAGCCUGACGGAGCAACGCCGCGUGGGUGAUGAAGGUCUUCGGAUCGUAAAACUCUGUUGUUGGGGAAGAAAAGAAGUGUAAGUAACUAUGCCCGUUUUGACGGUACCUAAAGAAAAAGCAACGGCUAACUUCGUG
rnacentral:rRNA from 1 species